rnacentral:rRNA from 1 species
GACGAACGCUGGCGGCGUGCUUAACACAUGCAAGUCGAACGGAAAGGCCCUGCUUUUGUGGGGUGCUCGAGUGGCGAACGGGUGAGUAACACGUGAGUAACCUGCCCUUGACUUUGGGAUUACUUCAGGAAACUGGGGCUAAUACCGGAUAGGUGCUCCUGCUGCAUGGUGGGGGUUGGACAGUUUCGGCGGUUGGGGAUGGACUCGCGGCUUAUCAGCUUGUUUGUGGGGUAGUGGCUUACCAAGGCUUUGACGGGUAGCCGGCCUGAGAGGGUGACCGGCCACAUUGGGACUGAGAUACGGCCCAGACUCCUACGGGAGGCAGCAGUGGGGAAUAUUGCACAAUGGGCGGAAGCCUGAUGCAGCAACGCCGCGUGCGGGAUGACGGCCUUCGGGUUGUAAACCGCUUUCGCCUGUGACGAAGCGUGAGUGACGGUAAUGGGUAAAGAAGCACCGGCUAACUACGUG